AUCGAACGCUGGCGGCAGGCCUAACACAUGCAAGUCGAGCGGAUGAAGGGAGCUUGCUCCUGGAUUCAGCGGCGGACGGGUGAGUAAUGCCUAGGAAUCUGCCUGGUAGUGGGGGAUAACGUCCGGAAACGGGCGCUAAUACCGCAUACGUCCUGAGGGAGAAAGUGGGGGAUCUUCGGACCUCACGCUAUCAGAUGAGCCUAGGUCGGAUUAGCUAGUUGGUGGGGUAAAGGCCUACCAAGGCGACGAUCCGUAACUGGUCUGAGAGGAUGAUCAGUCACACUGUAACUGAGACACGGUCCAGACUCCUACGGUAGGCAGCAGUGGGGAAUAUUGGACGAUGGGCCAAAGCCUGAUCCAGCCAUGCCGCGUGUGUGAAGAAGGUCUUCGGAUUGUAAAGCACUUUAAGUUGGGAGGAAGGGCAGUAAGUUAAUACCUUGCUGUUUUGACGUUACCAACAGAAUAAGCACCGGCUAACUUCGUG
rnacentral:rRNA from 1 species